GAUGAAUGAUGGCGGCGUGCCUAAUACAUGCAAGUCGAGCGAACAGACGAGGAGCUUGCUCCUCUGACGUUAGCGGCGAACGGGUGAGUAACACGUGGAUAACCUACCUAUAAGACUGGGAUAACUUCGGGAAACCGGAGCUAAUACCGGAUAAUAUAUUGAACCGCAUGGUUCAAUAGUGAAAGACGGUUUUGCUGUCACUUAUAGAUGGAUCCGCGCCGCAUUAGCUAGUUGGUAAGGUAACGGCUUACCAAGGCAACGAUGCGUAGCCGACCUGAGAGGGUGAUCGGCCACACUGGAACUGAGACACGGUCCAGACUCCUACGGGAGGCAGCAGUAGGGAAUCUUCCGCAAUGGGCGAAAGCCUGACGGAGCAACGCCGCGUGAGUGAUGAAGGUCUUCGGAUCGUAAAACUCUGUUAUUAGGGAAGAACAAAUGUGUAAGUAACUAUGCACGUCUUGACGGUACCUAAUCAGAAAGCCACGGCUAACUACGUG
rnacentral:rRNA from 1 species